GACGUAGGGGGCCAGCGUUGCUCGGAAUUACUGGGUGUAAAGUGUUCGUAGGCGGUGUGGCAAGUCGGGAGUGAAAUCUCUGGGCUCAACCCAGAGUCUGCUUCCGAAACUGCUGUGCUUGAGUGUGGGAGAGGCGCGUGGAAUUGCAGGUGUAGCGGUGAAAUGCGUAGAUAUCUGCAGGAACACCCGUGGCGAAAGCGGCGCGCUGGACCACUACUGACGCUGAGGAACGAAAGCUAGGGGAGCAAACAGG
rnacentral:rRNA from 1 species